AGAGAGAACAAAUUCAAAAUAUGAUCAAGUAGUAAAAAGAGAAAUUUGUGCCAUCACAACAAAAGGAACUAGAAUGUACAGUUUUAGGGACGGUGACUGUACAGACUCAGAGGCAGCCUAUCUCCUUGCCAUUGCAGAAAAGGGUUACAAUGAUACAGCUGGUGGAGGCAGUGUUUAUGGUGUCUGCUUUCUUGAUACGUCCAUUGGGAAAUUCCAU